ACUUUUGCUAGAGGAAGAGCUAGAUUGGAUAAUUGCUUUUUUUGUUUGUUUGUUUUUGAUAAUUGCUUUUUUAAAGUUGGUGACAAAGGUUGCCAGGGGAGCUGAGAUUAAGAUAAUGAUAUUACUUUCUUCCUUGCCUUCCUUUUUAGGAUUUAUUUCCAAUGAACAUGGACAAAAGAGUUUACAGCAAACAGUCCCAAGCAGACUUCUUUUUUGUUUUUGUUAAUACUAGGGUAUCAAUGUAAAUUUUUCUUUGUUCUUGUUUCCUUUUUCCUUCAGUCCCCAACACCCUUCCUGCUUAUUUUUCCAAUAUAAUACACAGCUGGGCCCACCUUACCACAUCCUCGUUGAUACCAACUUUAUCAACUUUUCCAUAAAAGCCAAACUGGACUUAGUGCAGUCAAUGAUGGACUGUCUGUAUGCCAAGUGUAUCCCAUGUAUAACCGAUUGUGUGAUGGCUGAAAUUGAGAAAUUGGGGCAGAAGUAUCGAGUGGCUCUAAGGAUUGCCAAGGAUCCAAGAUUUGAACGAUUACCAUGUACACACAAAGGAACCUAUGCAGAUGA
rnacentral:sRNA from 1 species